rnacentral:rRNA from 1 species
AUUGAACGCUGGCGGCACGCCUAACACAUGCAAGUCGAGCGGUAGCAGGACCUGUAGCAAUACAGGUUGCUGACGAGCGGCGGACGGGUGAGGAAUACGUAGGAACCUGCCUUAUAGUGGGGGAUAACUAAGGGAAACUUUAGCUAAUACCGCAUAAUCUCGAGAGAGGAAAGCUGCCGCAAGGUGGCGCUAACAGAGGGGACUGCGUCCGAUUAGCUAGUUGGUGAGGUAAGAGCUCACCAAGGCGAUGAUCGGUAACUGGUCUGAGAGGACGACCAGUCACACUGGGACUGAGACACGGCCCAGACUCCUACGGGAGGCAGCAGUGGGGAAUAUUGGACAAUGGGGGCAACCCUGAUCCAGCGAUGCCGCGUGAGUGAAGAAGGCCUUCGGGUCGUAAAGCUCUUUAGGUUGGGAAGAAGGGUGUUAGAGGAAAUGCUAAUACUUUGACGGUACCGACAGAAUAAGCACCGGCAAACUCUGUGCCAGCCGCCGCGGUAA